AUUGAACGCUGGCGGCAGGCCUAACACAUGCAAGUCGAGCGGAUGACGGGAGCUUGCUCCUUGAUUCAGCGGCGGACGGGUGAGUAAUGCCUAGGAAUCUGCCUGGUAGUGGGGGACAACGUUUCGAAAGGAACGCUAAUACCGCAUACGUCCUACGGGAGAAAGCAGGGGACCUUCGGGCCUUGCGCUAUCAGAUGAGCCUAGGUCGGAUUAGCUUGUUGGUGUGGUAAUGGCUCACCAAGGCGACGAUCCGUAACUGGUCUGAGAGGAUGAUCAGUCACACCGGAACUGAGACACGGUCCAGACUCCUACGGGAGGCAGCAGUGGGGAAUAUUGGACAAUGGGCGAAAGCCUGAUCCAGCCAUGCCGCGUGUGUGAAGAAGGUCUUCGGAUUGUAAAGCACUUUAAGUUGGGAGGAAGGGUUGUAGAUUAAUACUCUGCAAUUUUGACGUUACCGACAGAAUAAGCACCGGCUAACUUCGUGCCAGCCGCCGCCGUAACAC
rnacentral:rRNA from 1 species